rnacentral:rRNA from 1 species
AGUGAACGCUGGCGGUAGGCCUAACACAUGCAAGUCGAACGGCAGCACAGGAGAGCUUGCUCUCUGGGUGGCGAGAGGCGGACGGGUGAGGAAUACAUCGGAAUCUACUUUUUCGUGGGGGAUAACGUAGGGAAACUUACGCUAAUACCGCAUACGCCCUACGGGUGAAAGCAGGGGAUCUUCGGACCUUGCGCGAUUGAAUGAGCCGAUGUCGGUUUAGCUAGUUGGGGGGGUAAAGGCCCACCAAGGCGACGAUCCGUAGCUGAUCUGCGAGGAUGAUGAGCCACACUGGAACUGAGAAACGGUCCAGACUCCUACGGGAGGCAGCAGUGGGGAAUAUUGGACAAUGGGCGCAAGCCUGAUCCAGCCAUACCGCGUGGGUGAAGAAGGCCUUUGGGUUGUAAAGCCCUGUUGUUGGGAAAGAAAUCCAGCUGGUUAAUACCCGGUUGGGAUGACGGUACCCAAAGAAUAAGCACCGGCUAACUUCGUGCCAGCCGCCGCAGUAA